UGCAGUCGAGCGGACUUGUCGGAGUGCUUGCACUCCUGAAAGUUACCGGCGGACGGGUGAAUAACACGUAGGCAGCCUGCCCUCACGACUGGGAUAAGUACCGGAAACGCUAACUAAUACCGGAAAAUUUAUUACAUAUGCAUUAUGUAAUAAUGAAAGACGGAGCAUUCUGUCACUUGGGGAUGGGCCUGCUUGGCAUUAGCUAGUUGGUGGGGUAACGGCCCACCAAGGCGACCAUGCGUAACCGACCUGAGAGGGUGAACGGCCACACUGGGACUGAAAACGGCCCAGACUCCUACGGGAGGCACAUUAGGGAAUCUUCCGCAAUGGGCGAAAGCCUGACCGAGCGCGCCGCGUGAGUGAUGAAGGUUUUCGGACUUUCAGCUCUGUUGCCAAGGAAGAACGUCUCAUGAGUAACUGCUAUGAGAGUGACGGUACUUGAGAACAAAGCCCCGGCUAACUACGUGCCGCAUCCGCGGUAAUACGUAGGGGGCAAGCGUUGUCCGGAAUUAUUGGGCGUAAAAGCUCGCGCAGGCGGUUUCUUUAUGUCUGGUGUUUAAACCUGGGGCUCAACUUCAGGUCGCACUGGAAACUGGGGAACUUGAGUGCAGAAGAGGAGAGUGGAAUUCCACGUGUAGCGGUGAAAUGCGUAGAUAUGUGGAGGAACACCAGUGGCGAAGGCGACUCUCUGGGCUGUAACUGACGCUGAGGCGCGAAAGCGUGGGGAGCRAACAGGAUUAGAUACCCUGGUAGUCCACGCCGUAAACGAUGACUGUUAGGUGUUAGGGGUUUCGAUACCCUUGGUGCGGAAGUUAACACAUUAAGCAUUCCGCCUGGGGAGUACGGUCGCAAGACUGAAACUCAAAGGAAUUGACGGGGACCCGCACAAGCAGUGGAUAUGUGGUUUAAUUCGAAGCAACGCGAAGAACCUUACCAAGUCUUGACAUCCCUCUGAAUGUCCUAGAGAUAGCUGCGGCCUUCGGGACAGAGGAGACAGGUGGUGCAUGGUUUUCUUCAGUUCGUUUCGUGAGAUGUUGGGUUAAUUCCCGCAACGAGCGCAACCUUUGAUUUUAGUUGCCAGCAGGUAAGGCUGGGCAUUAUAGAAGGACUGCCGGUGACAAUCCGGAGGAAGGCGGGGAGGACGUCAAAUCUUCAUGCCCCUUAUGACUUGGGUUACACCCGUAUUCCAAUGGCUGGUACAACGGGAAGGGAAGCCGGGAGGUGGAGCCAAUCCAAUAAAAGCCAGUCUCAUUUGGGAUUGCUGGGUGCAACUCGCUUGCAAGAAGUGGGAAUUUAUUGUAAUCGGGGAUCAGCAUGCCGCGGGGAAUACGUUCCCGGCUUUUGUCCACACCGCCCGUCACACCAGGAGAGUUUACACCACCGGAAGUCGGUGGGUAACCCGCAAGGAGCCAGCCGC
rnacentral:rRNA from 1 species